rnacentral:rRNA from 1 species
UCGUCACACUAUCAUUAACUGAAUCCAUAGGUUAAUGAGGCGAACCGGGGGAACUGAAACAUCUAAGUACCCCGAGGAAAAGAAAUCAACCGAGAUUCCCCCAGUAGCGGCGAGCGAACGGGGAGGAGCCCAGAGCCUGAAUCAGCAUGUGUGUUAGUGGAAGCGUCUGGAAAGGCGCGCGAUACAGGGUGACAGCCCCGUACACAAAAGCGCAUGUGCUGUGAGCUCGAUGAGUAGGGCGGGACACGUGGUAUCCUGUCUGAAUAUGGGGGGACCAUCCUCCAAGGCUAAAUACUCCUGACUGACCGAUAGUGAACCAGUACCGUGAGGGAAAGGCGAAAAGAACCCCGGCGAGGGGAGUGAAAAAGAACCUGAAACCGUGUACGUACAAGCAGUGGGAGCACAGGUUUACCUGUGUGACUGCGUACCUUUUGUAUAAUGGGUCAGCGACUUAUAUUCUGUAGCAAGGUUAACCGAAUAGGGGAGCCGGAGGGAAACCGAGUCUUAAUUGGGCGUUAAGUUGCAGGGUAUAGACCCGAAACCCGGUGAUCUAGCCAUGGGCAGGUUGAAGGUUGGGUAACACUAACUGGAGGACCGAACCGACUAAUGUUGAAAAAUUAGCGGAUGACCUGUGGCUGGGGGUGAAAGGCCAAUCAAACCGGGAGAUAGCUGGUUCUCCCCGAAAGCUAUUUAGGUAGCGCCUCGUGAAUUCAUCUCCGGGGGUAGAGCACUGUUUCGGCUAGGGGGCCAUCCCGGCUUACCAACCCGAUGCAAACUGCGAAUACCGGAGAAUGUUAUCACGGGAGACACACGGCGGGUGCUAACGUCCGUCGUGAAGAGGGAAACAACCCAGACCGCCAGCUAAGGUCCCAAAGUCAUGGUUAAGUGGGAAACGAUGUGGGAAGGCCCAGACAGCCAGGAUGUUGGCUUAGAAGCAGCCAUCAUUUAAAGAAAGCGUAAUAGCUCACUGGUCGAGUCGGCCUGCGCGGAAGAUGUAACGGGGCUAAACCAUGCACCGAAGCUGCGGCAGCGACACUGUGUGUUGUUGGGUAGGGGAGCGUUCUGUAAGCCUGUGAAGGUGUGUCGUGAGGC